GUGGUUUGUAGAACAAGUUGUAAAACAAGUUUGAAGAACUGGUUGGAUAGUAUCUAUAUAUAAGUCUUUAGUGAGUACUGCACGAGCAUUUCAUAGGCGGGAAUACGGGUGGGGUAUAUAAGUCCGAUACUUGGAUAAUUUGUAUCGAGGUUCUCACAGUAACUUCAAAGUAACAACACGUUCUGCAUAGUAUAUCGAAGUUACUGCGAGCAAACCAAACCUACAUUUUGACUUGCCUCUUAUUUCGCCAUGUAGAUAGAUUAGAAAUGUUUUAAAUUCGGACGAAUUUAUGAGGGAGAAUUUAA
rnacentral:lncRNA from 1 species